UACGUAGGGUGCGAGCGUUGUCCGGAAUUAUUGGGCGUAAAGGGCGCGUAGGCGGCCUGUUAAGUCGGACGUGAAAUCCCUCGGCUCAACCGGGGAACUGCGUCCGAUACUGGCGGGCUUGAAUUCGGGAGAGGGAUGUGGAAUUCCAGGUGUAGCGGUGAAAUGCGUAGAUAUCUGGAGGAACACCGGUGGCGAAGGCGGCAUCCUGGACCGACAUUGACGCUGAGGCGCGAAAGCCAGGGGAGCAAACGGG
rnacentral:rRNA from 1 species